rnacentral:lncRNA from 1 species
CUACUGCUACUUCUUUUGGCAAAAAAGCUUAAUUUCUUGCAUUUGGGUCCAUAUUCUGUAUAUUUGUUUCUUGUCAAGUAAGUUCAUGUAGAAUCCUUUUCUUUUCUUCCCCCGGUUUUUCGGAUUAUGAGGCCCAUGGACAAUUCCUUAGAUGAUUUCAAUCAUAACUAUUUGAUAAAUAGCAUUAUACAUAGAUGAUUUCACCAUGAGCG